rnacentral:rRNA from 1 species
AUUGAACGCUGGCGGCAUGCCUUACACAUGCAAGUCGAACGGCAGCACGGGAGCAAUCCUGGUGGCGAGUGGCGAACGGGUGAGUAAAGUAUCGGAACGUGCCCAGUCGUGGGGGAUAACGUAGCGAAAGUUACGCUAAUACCGCAUACGAUCUAUGGAUGAAAGCGGGGGAUCGCAAGACCUCGCGCGAUUGGAGCGGCCGAUAUCAGAUUAGGUAGUUGGUGGGGUAAAGGCCCACCAAGCCGACGAUCUGUAGCUGGUCUGAGAGGACGACCAGCCACACUGGGACUGAGACACGGCCCAGACUCCUACGGGAGGCAGCAGUGGGGAAUUUUGGACAAUGGGUGAAAGCCUGAUCCAGCCAUGCCGCGUGCAGGAUGAAGGCCUUCGGGUUGUAAACUGCUUUUGCACGGAACGAAAAGGACUGCCCUAAUACGGUGGUCCCAUGACGGUACCGUAAGAAUAAGCACCGGCUAACUACGUGCCAGCAGCCGCGGUAA